rnacentral:rRNA from 1 species
GAUGAACGCUGGCGGCGUGCUUAACACAUGCAAGUUGUGCGGUUUUUUGUUUGAAGUUUUCGGACGGAUAGCAGAAGACAGCAGCGGACGGGUGAGUAAUGCACAAGGACUUGUCCUAAAGAGGGGGACAACUGUGGGAAACCACAGCUAAUACCCCGUAAGCCGAGAGGUGAAAGCAGCAAUGCGCUUGAGGAGAGACUUGUGUCCUAUCAGGUAGUUGGUGAGGCAACGGCUCACCAAGCCCAAGACGGGUAGCCGGACUGAGAGGUUGUACGGCCACAUUGGAACUGAGAGACGGUCCAGACUCCUACGGGAGGCAGCAGUGGGGAAUAUUGGGCAAUGGGGGCAACCCUGACCCAGCGACGCCGCGUGAGGGAAGACAGCCUUCGGGUUGUAAACCUCUGUUGCAGGGGAAGAAGAAAGUGACGGUACCCUGCGAGGAAGCUCCGGCAAACUACGUGCCAGCAGCCGCGGUAAUACGUAGGGAGCGAGCGUUGUCCGGAAUUACUGGGCGUAAAGGGCGCGUAGGCCGUGUCAUAAGUCAGUUGUAAAACUUCUGGGCUUAACCCAGAGCGGCACCUGAAACUGUGAUGCUGGAGGCAUGGAGAGGCAGACAGAAUUCCUGGUGUAGCGGUGAAAUGCGUAGAUAUCAGGAAGAAUACCGGUGGCGAAGGCGGUCUGCUGGCCAUGAACUGACGCUGAAGCGCGAAAGCUAGGGGAGCAAACGGGAUUAGAUACCCCGGUAGUCCUAGCAGUAAACGAUGUAUGCUGGGUGUGGGACUAGCGAUAGUUCCGUGCCGAAGUUAACGCGAUAAGCAUACCGCCUGGGGAGUACGGUCGCAAGAUUGAAACUCAAAGGAAUUGACGGGGGCCCGCACAAGCGGUGGAGCACGUGGUUUAAUUCGAUGCAA